rnacentral:rRNA from 1 species
GGGCAAGUGUUGUUCGGAAUUACUGGGCGUAAAGGGCGCGUAGGCGGCACGGCAAGUCAGGAGUGAAAGCCCUGGGCUCAACCCGGGAACUGCUUUUGAAACUGCCGAGCUAGAGUGCGGAAGGGGCAACUGGAAUUCCCAGUGUAGCGGUGAAAUGCGUAGAUAUUGGGAAGAACACCUGAGGCGAAGGCGGGUUGCUGGGCCGACACUGACGCUGAGGCGCGAAAGCCAGGGGAGCGAACGGG